ACUGGUUGAGUUGCUGCUUGCCUGGACGUUGCUAGAGACGUUAUUCGUCUGCCCUUGUUCUACUUUGGGACACCUCAUAUGGGGCACUGUCAUGCCCCGAACCUGAGGUCGGUAAUAAAAACUCGAACCUGAAUCUGAAAUGUGAGUUAAGUAUUAAAAGGAAACUUGAAACGAGUUUGAAAAUAAAUUCAUUCUUAUAAAAUAACUCCAUAAUCCUUAUAGGGGGUACAAAAAUAAUAAAUUAAAACUCUUAGAUCCCUCGUCUAAGACAACCUCAGUUUGUCUAUCACCAGUCUUGCCAAAUAACGUAUCUGUAAAAUAAUAAGUGAUGGGUGAGCAACAAUCACCAUCGCUCAGUGAGUAGAAUAUGUAAUAUGCCAGUCAUGCUUGCAAUUUUAAUCGUACUAUAAUAUAGGAUAAUAAUAUCAAAGCUUUAGCCACAUAAUUUCAUAUCACAUAGUUCCUUAACAUGUUGGUUAUCCUUCAUAAUAUAUAACUCACCACAUGACCCUUAAAAUGGCAUUUCCGCCCCAAUGUCCACGUUUGCCAUACAUUUAUCCCUCGGAUAACCCGAUACUUAAGUUCUCAUGCUCCAUGAACACCUCAAAUAACCACAUAUCACUAUAUUAAUAAUUCUGAAAGCAUCCCAUAAAUUCAACAUGCUUGACUUGAAAUAGAGAGAUAUUUGAAAAUAGAUAAAUCCAUAAUAACUCAUGGUUUUUAUUUAUCAGAAAAUAAGAAUAUUUUAAACACAUUACAUAAACCACUCACCUCGAUCAAUAACUAGAACCUCGGUAAGACAAGUAUACAAAGAAUCUCCACACAACAAACCCUAAACCCUAUUUCUUUCUCUCUUUACCCUCACUCCCUUUCUCUACAUUGAACCUUCGAUGCAUGCUUUGCAUGUUUCCUUCUUUUUAUGCUCC
rnacentral:lncRNA from 1 species